GAAAUGCGAUACUUGGUGUGAAUUGCAGAAUUCAGUGAAUCAUCGAAUCUUUGAACGCAUAUUGCGCUCUUUGGUAUUCCGAAGAGCAUGCUUGUUUGAGUAUCAGUAAACACCUCAAAGCUUUUGGAUUUUUUUUUUGAAAGCUUUGGACUUGAGCAAUCCCAACACCAAUCUUUUUCAGAUCGGCGGCGGGUUGCUUGAAAUGCAGGUGCAGCUGGACUUUCUCCUGAGCUAAAAGCAUAUUCAUUUAGUCCCAUCAAACGGAUUAUUAUUUUUGCUGCAGCUAACAUAAAGGGAGUUUGACCGCAUUGGCUGACUGAUGCAGGAUUUCACAAGGGUCGGCAACGAUUCUUGUUAAACUCGAUCUCAAAUCAAGUAAGACUACCCGCUGAACUUAA
rnacentral:misc_RNA from 1 species